rnacentral:rRNA from 1 species
UACGUAAGGGGCAAGCGUUGUCCGGAAUCAUUGGGCGUAAAGAGCGUGUAGGCGGCUCGAUAAGUCUGCUGUGAAAGUCCAGGGCUCAACCCUGGAAGGCCGGUGGAAACUGUCGGGCUAGAGUCCGGAAGAGGCGAGUGGAAUUCCCGGUGUAGCGGUGAAAUGCGCAGAUAUCGGGAGGAACACCAAUGGCGAAGGCGGCUCUCUGGCUCGGUACUGACGCUGAGGCGCGAAAGCGUGGGGAGCAAACAGG